AAGAUAACUUACAGUUUUUUACGAUUGCUUAAGCACAAUUUUGAAAACAGGGCCCGGUUUGUCAAAACACUACACACAAUUAACAAUACC